rnacentral:snoRNA from 25 species
AAACGACAACUCUCUGGGUUCCUCGAGUACUUUCAUCUCAGUGUAAUCCUCAUCAGUUGUUGGAGAGA